AGAAAAAUAAACUCAAAUCCUGAAGAGAUUCUGUUAUGUUGUUCAUUAUCUAAUCCAAAACGACAACAACGGUGGUGCCAGUGGCAGCAGCAGCUUCAGCUAUGAUGGCGCCUCUCUCUAUUGACCGGAAACGGUGCGUUUUGGUCCCACCAUCAUCUCAUGAAGGAGAAGAAGCUAAUAUCCAAAUCAAUUCGCGCUCAGUCCUCACCUUUCGACCUCUCUCCUCCUCCCAUCGACCAUGAUUUCCUGGUUGAUAAGCAGCCUGUAACUUUAGGGGUUGGAAACAUCAUUUCUGAAGAUGGUUUUUCAUUACUGAUGUCUCCAGGAGCUGCUCCAUCCAUUUGGAAAGCUAUUCUUUCUCAAGGAGCAAUCCCAAUGGGUUCUAAUGCAUGGAAUAAACUACGGUUUAUUCGAGGAGUUAGUCUACUAUAGCAUACUAACCUGUCUAUGGAACUCGGUUUCUCUAAAUAAGGGUUGUUACAAAGGACAGGAGACUAUAUCUAGGCUCAUAACAUGAUGGAAUCAAGCAGAGGUUAUGGGGAUCUCAUCUUUCUGCUGCUGCAGAACCUGGCAGCAUUAUUACAGUUGAUGAGAAAAAGGUGCUAUACAAUUUCUUUUGAAAAAUAUUCACUACUUUUUUCUUCGAUCCUUAUGUAUUUGUUAAAGAGAAAGAUGGAAAUUUGCAGUGUAAUACCCAGUUGAAACUAACGAUGACAGGAACAUGGUGAAAACUCCAGUUACAAUGUUUGUCUGGAGAAACCCAUCUUGUCAAAAUAAUGGAUAACUAAUAGUGGUUCCCUGAGUCAGUAGCCUAGUGCUUGUGAUGUUGGGUUGCGUUCUGUAAUCCUAAUAUUCUCCUUGAAUGAGUUGGAAGAAAGUUGAUGGUUGGAAAGUUAACCAGCUACACAUCUGGAAGGAAGCAAUCUGAACACUUUGGAUUAGGUUACAUCAAGAGGCGAGCUGCUUCGGAAGGAGACACUGUAAUUGUCCGUGACAACAUCAAGGGAACAGUGGUGGAAGCACCUUUUCUUUCGCAGCUGCGCCCACCAUCUGCUAGUUGAGCUUCCUGUGUGGUAGCACUUAUUGGUGUUGUUGAAAAAGCACAUGCAUAAUAACUAGUAAAUUAGUUAAACUGUUAGUGAAGGUGCUUGUUAUCUUGAUCAUGUUUGCGGUGAAUAGCAUGUGGUCAAUAGCAUCAAUCUUGGAUGAGAUUACAUCUUUUUUCUGUUCUUCCUUUCUUCUUGGAGGUUGCAUCUUGUUCCAAGGUACUCUCGAAUGACCUUUCUACAGUCCUACCAAAAGAAUUAGAAUGAAGCAGCCUUAGUCCAUUCAAUAUAGGAGUCUCUAUAACUUUCCCAAUUUGUGACCAUGUCUUCUAAACCAACGGUGUUUCCUUUCGCCAAUCUGGCUAAUUUUCUCAAUUUGACCAAUUAAGACUACUGCAGCAGCCAUUUGACGCACAAUUUGAUCCUUAUCUCUUCAUUCUCUAGAAAUUGGAAUGUUAUCUUGUUGAAUUAGAAUACAAAAUUUUGCUACGUUAUUCAUAGUAGAGCUUUGAAACAAACCUCCAACUAAUUCAAAAUAUUACGAUUAGUCUUGGGAUGACCAGAGGCUUGCUUGCCUGAAUACCAAUCUUAGAAGUCACAUGUGGACCUAAGUCAUUUGUUAUAAACGACCGAUAACCAAAUAUUUGUUAACAAAAUUAACUUUGUUAUCAAGACACUGGUUUUAUAGAAUGAAAUUAAUUUCAUGUCUGUCAAAAUGUUUCUUUAUGACAAAUUUAUAUCAGUGAAGGUACUUUAUUUUUAAAUUUCUUAACGAGCUGUUAGAAUUUAAUUGAAAAGACGCCGAAAGAGACAUUAAAAAAACUUGAUUCUUAAGCUUUAUACGUUGAAAAAGGAUGUUUAACUUUUCAACUACUCGGUUUGAUGAACUUCAAUUUCAUUCAAAGAUAUAUCAAGCACAUUAGCAGUGAAAUGCGACUUGUUAAUUUAUGAACAACCUUUUUUCUUUUUCUUUUCUCUUUUUAUGGAACCUUUUUUAAUUUAGAUACAUAUGAACAAGUGAAC